UCCGCUUAAUAGGUAAAGCCGGGUACUCUACUUCAAGAACCUUUAUCAGCUUACCAUAGUAAUCACUUGAUUGAUCACUAUAGUUCGUUCCUUUAAUGCAUACACCACAAUUCACCGUCAUUCGAUUAGCACUUCGUCCCUUAGUGUGAAAUUUGUAUCCAUUUACAUAGUACCCUGUGUACACAUUCACUGUAUUUAGAGGUCCUUUGGCUAAAUCUUGGAUGAGAGGAUUGUUCAUUCUAUUGGUUGGUUCAUGUACCUAUUACAAAAAGUGAACAUAUAAAAUUAAUUUUGAUUCAUUCACCAAAUCCAACGUAGUAUUGCAAGUAUUAUAAAGCUUACGUAUGCUUUGAACCAUGUGGGAAAGUUAUUCUCCAAUGUGAUGUCUACCUCGCCAUCGGUAAUGUUAGGUGAUAUCCUC
rnacentral:lncRNA from 1 species